CUACGGGGCGCUCCAGUGGGGAAUAUUGGGCAAUGGGGGAAACCCUGACCCAGCAACGCCGCGUGAAGGAAGAAGGUCUUCGGAUUGUAAACUUCUUUGAUCAGGGACGAAAAAAAUGACGGUACCUGAAGAACAAGCCACGGCUAACUACGUGCCAGCAGCCGCGGUAAUACGUAGGUGGCAAGCGUUAUCCGGAUUUACUGGGUGUAAAGGGCGUGUAGGCGGCUCUGCAAGUCAGAUGUGAAAUUCCCAGGCUUAACCUGGGCGCUGCAUCUGAAACUGUAGAACUUGAGUACUGGAGAGGAUAGUGGAAUUCCUAGUGUAGCGGUAAAAUGCGUAGAUAUUAGGAGGAACACCAGUGGCGAAGGCGGCUAUCUGGACAGUAACUGACGCUGAGGCGCGAAAGCGUGGGGAGCAAACAGGAUUAGAUACCCCAGUAGUC
rnacentral:rRNA from 1 species